ACCGGGAACCCUCCCCCGCACCCACCGGGACCCCUCCCCAGAACCCACCGGGACACCCCCGCACCCAUCGGGACCCCUCAGGAGGCGACAAUGGCGAGCGAGCGGCUGCGCAGCGCUCAGGACCUGCUGGACCUCACCUUCCAAUCGCUGGCCAUGCAGCACAUGGACCUGAAGCAGGUGGAGCUGGACACGGCCGUGGCCAAAGUG